CUCUCCCAGAACUCAACAUUCCCAGUAUCCAGGGCUCCGGGGGUGCGGAGAAGAGGAUCCAGGAAAGUGAAAGGUCCAAACAGCAAACAGGGGGUGCAUGGCGUGAGGACAGCUGUGAUGUUCAGACCUGCUCACAUGCAUGGGGCUUCAUAUGAGAAUGGCAUCCUAUACAAAGAAGAAGACAUUUCAUCUGGAGGAAGUACUGGGAUCACUUUUGUUUUAAGAAGGACAUUGACAAAUAGGAAACAUCCAAAGAUGGAUAGCCAAGAUAAUAAAGGAUCUUAAGUGAUGAUAAAGGACUUUAAUUUCAUGCCUUAAGAAGAUGCACAGAGGAUAGUUAGCCUCUAGAAGAUAUAAGAGAAAAUAGUAGUUAUCCUCAAACAUUUGAAAGACUACUAUUUAAAAAAGGGGGACAGUCUUCAACCAGACCCCAGAGGGCAGAAUCAGAAGUCCUAAGUAGAAGGUACAGAAUACACUUACAAGGAUCAGGAAAAACAUCUUUACAAUUGGAGUUGCCUCAAAGUGGAAAGAUGGUAGUGGGUUUCCUUUUAUUUGAGGUCAUUAAACAAAGGCUAGAUGGCCACAUAUUCACUAAUUUUUUAGAGGACAUUUUUUUUUUCAGAGGUGUAUCACCUAGAUAGCCUAAUGCACAUCUAUCUGAAGACAGGUUCAAAUUCUACAUCAGACACUUAUUAGCUGUGUGAUCUAGAAUAAGCCUCUUCAUCUUCCUAUAUUUGAGGGGUUUUUGGUCUUUGUUUCAUUUCUAAAAUGAAGUUAUUAUACUAGCUGGCCUUGAAGGUUGUUCAGUCUCUCAAUGUAUGAUUCUUUUCUUAUGUAGUAGGGCUGACAGUAGAUCUUGAAUACCUUGAAUCUUAGUUCUCUGUGCUGUAUGCCACCUCUCUAAAAUCCACACAGCUUUCUAAGAAACUCUACAUUGUCUUUUGAGGAGAGGAGGGGCAUAGAAUCCUUUGCUCCAUAGUUGCGGAAUUAGAGCUGAAGUGGACUGUCUCUGACUGAAGAUUGCCUUGGUGAACCUGUUAAGCAUUUACCUGUAUGCAAGAGGAAAGAAAUGGGCCAUAUGGUGCUGUUAAUGACAUCUCUUUCUAUAACUCCAGGAAACCCGAAGCCCUGCUAUCCCCCCUUUCUCAUAUUACUCAAGUAUGUAAUACUCUGAUUCAUAAUUAAUGUGUUUGAUCUAUUGAAGUGUCUAUUUACAUUCUCGUUUUUUGUCCUUCACAGAAACUAAAACGUCUUGUGAAAGCUACAAGGUUGUUCACUGCUGCUCUCUCUGUCUCUAUUUCUAUCUCUGUCUUUCUGUCUGUCUGUCUCCCUUUCUGUCUCUCUCUGUGUCUCUUUUUC